AGUCAUAAGUCAGAGGAAGUAUCUCGGUCGGGCAAUUCGGAUAAUUCUCCGCCGGGAACUGGGUGGCGCGAUCGGUCAGGUUGUUUGCGGUCGCGGUCGUAUUAUAUGGCGCGGUGCUCUGAUCGCGAUCGGAGACGCAGCCAGUCCAGUUGUUGGACUUCGUCGACGUCCAGUUGCCGCUGGCGUUGUUACAGUCGCUCUGCGUCAUGAAUCCGAUGGUGCUUCCCCACCAGUUGGUGCACUGGCCAACGUCCCACCGCAGCC
rnacentral:misc_RNA from 1 species